UUCUCGUAUAUAGUCGCGUAUUUAGUAUCACCGAGUGUUGUGCGUUUACUAAUACGAUCAGUGUUUUAUUUUAAUUUGUUUCGCCGUUUAAUUUAAAUUUAAAUUUAAUUUGUUGAAUAUGGAAAAUUUUAAUUUAAAAUUUAACGAACUAUUAAUAAAAAAAGGUUCAAAUAAUACUUACUCAAGUUAACCAAAAUAUGACGAUUUGAUUGUUCAUAUAAAGCAAUUAAAAAAUCAAACUGAAAAAUUUAAACCAAAUGAUUAUAGGCUCUUAAAAAAAUAUGACGAUUCAAAUAUCUGAAGAAGAAAAAUUUAUUUUCCUAUAACUGAAGGUAAUACUAUAAAAUAUUAUGUACAUAAUAUGCAAUUGUUUAACAUUAUACAGGAGGUGCAUUUAUCGAUUGGACAUGGCGGUAGGAAUAUGAAAUUCAAAAAUAUAACUAGAGAAUCCUAAUACAGUAAUUGCUGCACUUAAAUAAUUGUCAAUCGUGUCAAAAAAAAAGGAAGUACAGUUUAAAAAGGGUUAGUAAAACCAAUUAUGUCGUCUGAAAUGACUUCUCAUUGCCAGAUUGAUUUAAUAGAUAUGCUGGCACAAUCAGAUGGUGAAUAUAAAUUCAUUUUAGUGUACCAAGAUCAUUUGACAAAAUUCAUCUUACUCGGACCAUUAAUACAAAAACGCGCUAAAGAAGUGGUGUAUGUAUUAUCGGAAUUUUUUACAGCUUUUGGUGCGCCUUCAAUUUUGCAAAGUGAUACCUAAUGGUCGAGAAUUUGCGAAUAAAGUUGUAACAGAAUUUUUUACCAUGUGACCAGAACUCAAAAUGGUCAAUGGUAAACUACGUCAAUCACAAAGUCAAGGUUCAAUUGAAAGAGCCAACCAAGACAUAGAAAACAUUUUAGCUACGUAGCUACAGGAUAAUUGUACCAAAAAAUGGAAGGAAUGAUUAAAGUUUGUGCAGUUUAUGAAGAACCGUGGAUUACAUCAGGAAAUAAAAUGUUCACCUUAUGAAGUCAUGUUUGGUAUGGCAGCUAAAAUUGGACUAAGAAAUACAAUUUUAUCGGAUAAUAUAAUUUGUAAUUUAAAAAGUUAAGAAGACUUCGAAACAGCUCUUAAUUCAUUGAAAAGUUCAGAUGACUGCAGUGAUAAUGAAAUAGAAAAUGAAAAAGGUUUAGCUUUAACAAUACAAAAUAUUUAAGACAAAAGAGACGAAUCCGUUAAAAAGUUGGAAAUUCAAGUCUCAAAAAUGAAACAGGAUUUGGAAAAUAAUUUUAGUCAAGGUAAAGUUGGAGAGUGAGUGGCAAUUAAAAUUUCAGAUGUCGAUAGAGCGCGUAGUGAUUUUCGUUUAUUAUUGGAAUUAUAUUAUCAAGUGUUUUUACAAACUAUUAUUUAUGUAUGCUUGUUUUAAUGAUUAAUUUGUUAUGGAUUUAUUUUGAUAGUCAAUAAUAGUACAUCAGAAGACCGUCUUCACAACUUAUUAGCCAUAAUCAAUUCACAAUAUGUAAGAAAUCUUUUAUUAAAGUUAACGACGUGUCACAAUCAAAUAUUACUUCAAGGUAAGUGGCAAGGAAAUUAUCAAACUUGGGUGGUCAGGGAUAUGAUCAAUGUUCAUGCUUACAAAAAUGCAAAACAAAAAAAUGCAAAUGCAAAGCUGCAGGACGCCUUUGUACAUCAAAAUGCCAUGGGAGUAAACCAUGUUGCAAUAAAUUAUAAUAAAUUAUAAAAUCUUUUUUUUUCUUUAAAAUUUUUAAUUACCUAAUAGUUAUAUAUAUUUAAUUUGUAUAAUAAUUUUGUUUUACUUGUAGAUAAAGAUAUCCAUAAAUUUAAAUGGCUUAAAAAGUUAACUUUAUUUUACUAAAUAUUAACUAAUUUGUAUUUAAUAAUAUUCAUUAUAUAAUAAGUCUAAUAAUUAAUUCUACUCAUAUUAGCCGUCAUACUAUAUAUAUAUAUAUAUUAUGACAUAUUAUACUCCUCAAAUUUGUUUUUAUUCAAAUAGGUAUGUUUUGUAUCUUAUAUAUUAGGUAAAUUAUAGGCAUAGGUAUAUAGGUUUAUAGGUAUAUAUUUUAUAUUAAAUAUUUAUGUAUAGUUAUAAAAGUAUAUUUGGGCUAUCCCUGCUUACAAGUUACAACAUAAUAUUAAUUUCAAACAUAUAGUACUUGGAGAAGUGUAGACUGUAUAGUUUGCAAAUACUAUGUUCAAAGUUAUGAAGGAUUAUCAAAAACUAUUUUUGGCUGUUUUUAUUCCAAGAUUAUGUAUGUUUGUUUGAUGUUAAUUUAAUUAAAUCUUUGUUUGAAAUUUUUUUUUAAAUUAUUAAAAUAUAAAUACAUUGAUCGAAUAAGAUAAUAUUUUUAAAAACACAAAAUAUUGCAUGUUUCAUAUUGCUAAACUAUUAGAUUAAGGUCAUUGUAUAGAAUGUCCGGGCCAAGUGUGGUAAUGUUUACAUUGACCGCCUACAUUGGGCAUUCUAUAAAUUGCCCGGGCAUUUUAUAAAAUACCCGGCUUUCUACAAUGCCCGUAACAUAUAUACUUCAUCAAUAAUCAGUCAUCAUUAAUUUAAUGUAGUUAUAUACAUAUAUUUUCUCCAAAAAUGAGAUACCGUAAUGUCGUAACUUUGAUUAAUCCUAAUUAAGAUAUAUAUUAUACGAGUGUAUGAAAUACGAGCGUAUACAAGUGUUAGUAUUAUUCGUCUGUCUUGUUUUGUAUCAGUUAGUAGUUAUCAUCGAUUUUGAUGAUGAUUACAUAUAGAUACACGUACGAUAUCUGGGCUAUUUCAUUAUAUUUUUAGUAGCCUGCUGAACGUCAACUUGUGACUAUAUCGUGUCUCACAGCUAUACAGUUACACAAUUUUACAGUUAUUGUUUAUUUAUAAACUAUGAAAAUGGAAAUAAUGACUAGCGAAAAAAACAAAACUGUUAUUAUAAAAUAUGAUUAUAAGUUUAGGUUUCACAAAAUAUUGAAAAAUGAAGUAGGUACAGAAAUGGACCUGCUGUAAAAGUCCACGUAAGUGUUUUUUUAAAACUUAUAAUAUAAUAUAAUAUAUAUUCCAUUUGUAUUUUUUUUAUUACCUAAUAAAGAAACAGAAACAUACGUACCUACGUUUAUUUGAACAUACUGUAAAUAAUUGUGCACAAUAUCAAUUAAUAUUUUCUCUUGAUGUAGUAUUAAUUAUAGACUUUGAGAUUGCUAUACAUACGGCUGCAAAGCUUGUUUGGCUAAUCAAUAUAAAAGGAUGUCGUUUCCACUUAGGACAAAAUUGGUGGAAAAAGAUUCAAGCUCUUGGUUUAGUAAACACAUACAACUCUUUAAACACAGAAAAAAGCGAUUUUAAAAUGUUUUUUUGGGUUUGCCAUUUUAAGACCCGAAGAAGUUGGCGAAUGUUUUGCACAAGAUUUAAUGGUAAUACAACCAAAUGACAAACAAAUAAAAGCAUUUUGCGAUUAUGUACUAAAUAACUACAUUUCAUCUGAUAUAUUUCCCCCACAUAUUUGGUCUGAAUUUGCAGCCACUACUGUGCGUACAACUAAUAGUUGUGAAUCCUAUUAUGUUGUACUUAACCGAAGAUUUUAUAGUCCCUAUCCACAUAUUUUAAAUUUUGUGGAUAAACUAUUACAAAAUACAAAUACAGUCUGAGACACAUAUUAAACUACGAAGUACAAUACAAAAAAAGAAAAUCACGCUCGGACCUAAUUUAUCGAGAUAAGGUCAUUUGGGACCCAAUUUACCAAUCCCGCUUAAGAGGACGUCGCCGUCUUACACACGUGUGAUAUAGACAAAACGUGUUUACGCAGUCUGAACGAAGUAUUAUUCGCUCUAACAGCUCUUUCAAUAAUUUACUUAGAAGAAAUUAUGUGAUUGAUUCUGUUGAAAAGAAAAAUAUUAAACUAUGCCUCCUCGAAGAGAUUUUGUUGAUCGAUUAAUAUAUCAACCAAUAUUCAAGCUUAAAAAUUUCGGUUUUUUUUUUACAAGCAUAUUUUAGUACAUAAAAAUAUCAUGAAAACUAGAUAAUGCUAGUUGGCGUUCUUCAUUCAAAUUCUUUUUUUUUUUUUGUUGUAUUCAAAAAUGUUUCAUACAAUUCAAAAUAUUAAACAAUCUAUUUCAAAUAACUACUUAAUCACGAGUUAUUCUACU